AAGGGCGCACGGUGGAUGCCUUGGCACUAGAAGCCGAUGAAGGACGUUACUAACGACGAUAUGCUUUGGGGAGCUGUAAGUAAGCUUUGAUCCAGAGAUUUCCGAAUGGGGAAACCCAGCAUGAGUUAUGUCAUGUUAUCGAUAUGUGAAUACAUAGCAUAUCAGAAGGCACACCCGGAGAACUGAAACAUCUUAGUACCCGGAGGAAGAGAAAGAAAAUUCGAUUCCCUUAGUAGCGGCGAGCGAAACGGGAAGAGCCCAAACCAACAAGCUUGCUUGUUGGGGUUGUAGGACACUCUAUACGGAGUUACAAAGGACGACAUUAGACGAAUCAUCUGGAAAGAUGAAUCAAAGAAGGUAAUAAUCCUGUAGUCGAAAAUGUUGUCUCUCUUGAGUGGAUCCUGAGUACGACGGAGCACGUGAAAUUCCGUCGGAAUCUGGGAGGACCAUCUCCUAAGGCUAAAUACUCUCUAGUGACCGAUAGUGAACCAGUACCGUGAGGGAAAGGUGAAAAGCACCCCGGAAGGGGAGUGAAAUAGAACCUGAAACCGUGUGCUUACAAGUAGUCAGAGCCCGUUAAUGGGUGAUGGCGUGCCUUUUGUAGAAUGAACCGGCGAGUUACGAUUUGAUGCAAGGUUAAGCAGUAAAUGUGGAGCCGUAGCGAAAGCGAGUCUGAAUAGGGCGUUUAGUAUUUGGUCGUAGACCCGAAACCAGGUGAUCUACCCUUGGUCAGGUUGAAGUUCAGGUAACACUGAAUGGAGGACCGAACCGACUUACGUUGAAAAGUGAGCGGAUGAACUGAGGGUAGCGGAGAAAUUCCAAUCGAACCUGGAGAUAGCUGGUUCUCUCCGAAAUAGCUUUAGGGCUAGCCUCAAGUGAUGAUUAUUGGAGGUAGAGCACUGUUUGGACGAGGGGCCCCUCUCGGGUUACCGAAUUCAGACAAACUCCGAAUGCCAAUUAAUUUAACUUGGGAGUCAGAACAUGGGUGAUAAGGUCCGUGUUCGAAAGGGAAACAGCCCAGACCACCAGCUAAGGUCCCAAAAUAUAUGUUAAGUGGAAAAGGAUGUGGCGUUGCCCAGACAACUAGGAUGUUGGCUUAGAAGCAGCCAUCAUUUAAAGAGUGCGUAAUAGCUCACUAGUCGAGUGACACUGCGCCGAAAAUGUACCGGGGCUAAACAUAUUACCGAAGCUGUGGAUUGUCCUUUGGACAAUGGUAGGAGAGCGUUCUAAGGGCGUUGAAGCAUGAUCGUAAGGACAUGUGGAGCGCUUAGAAGUGAGAAUGCCGGUGUGAGUAGCGAAAGACGGGUGAGAAUCCCGUCCACCGAUUGACUAAGGUUUCCAGAGGAAGGCUCGUCCGCUCUGGGUUAGUCGGGUCCUAAGCUGAGGCCGACAGGCGUAGGCGAUGGAUAACAGGUUGAUAUUCCUGUACCACCUAUAAUCGUUUUAAUCGAUGGGGGGACGCAGUAGGAUAGGCGAAGCGUGCGAUUGGAUUGCACGUCUAAGCAGUAAGGCUGAGUAUUAGGCAAAUCCGGUACUCAUUAAGGCUGAGCUGUGAUGGGGAGAAGACAUUGUGUCUUCGAGUCGUUGAUUUCACACUGCCGAGAAAAGCCUCUAGAUAGAAAAUAGGUGCCCGUACCGCAAACCGACACAGGUAGUCAAGAUGAGAAUUCUAAGGUGAGCGAGCGAACUCUCGUUAAGGAACUCGGCAAAAUGACCCCGUAACUUCGGGAGAAGGGGUGCUCUUUAGGGUUAACGCCCAGAAGAGCCGCAGUGAAUAGGCCCAAGCGACUGUUUAUCAAAAACACAGGUCUCUGCUAAACCGUAAGGUGAUGUAUAGGGGCUGACGCCUGCCCGGUGCUGGAAGGUUAAGAGGAGUGGUUAGCUUCUGCGAAGCUACGAAUCGAAGCCCCAGUAAACGGCGGCCGUAACUAUAACGGUCCUAAGGUAGCGAAAUUCCUUGUCGGGUAAGUUCCGACCCGCACGAAAGGCGUAACGAUUUGGGCACUGUCUCAACGAGAGACUCGGUGAAAUCAUAGUACCUGUGAAGAUGCAGGUUACCCGCGACAGGACGGAAAGACCCCGUGGAGCUUUACUGUAGCCUGAUAUUGAAAUUCGGCACAGCUUGUACAGGAUAGGUAGGAGCCUUUGAAACGUGAGCGCUAGCUUACGUGGAGGCGCUGGUGGGAUACUACCCUAGCUGUGUUGGCUUUCUAACCCGCACCACUUAUCGUGGUGGGAGACAGUGUCAGGCGGGCAGUUUGACUGGGGCGGUCGCCUCCUAAAAGGUAACGGAGGCGCUCAAAGGUUCCCUCAGAAUGGUUGGAAAUCAUUCAUAGAGUGUAAAGGCAUAAGGGAGCUUGACUGCGAGACCUACAAGUCGAGCAGGGUCGAAAGACGGACUUAGUGAUCCGGUGGUUCCGCAUGGAAGGGCCAUCGCUCAACGGAUAAAAGCUACCCCGGGGAUAACAGGCUUAUCUCCCCCAAGAGUUCACAUCGACGGGGAGGUUUGGCACCUCGAUGUCGGCUCAUCGCAUCCUGGGGCUGUAGUCGGUCCCAAGGGUUGGGCUGUUCGCCCAUUAAAGCGGUACGCGAGCUGGGUUCAGAACGUCGUGAGACAGUUCGGUCCCUAUCCGUCGUGGGCGUAGGAAAUUUGAGAGGAGCUGUCCUUAGUACGAGAGGACCGGGAUGGACAUACCUCUGGUGUACCAGUUGUCGUGCCAACGGCAUAGCUGGGUAGCUAUGUGUGGACGGGAUAAGUGCUGAAAGCAUCUAAGCAUGAAGCCCCCCUCAAGAUGAGAUUUCCCAACUUCGGUUAUAAGAUCCCUCAAAGAUGAUGAGGUUAAUAGGUUCGAGGUGGAAGCAUGGUGACAUGUGGAGCUGACGAAUACUAAUCGAUCGAAGACUUAAUCAAA
rnacentral:rRNA from 1 species